rnacentral:rRNA from 1 species
AGGUUAAGUGAAUAAGGGCGCACGGUGGAUGCCUUGGCACUAGGAGCUGAUGAAGGACGGGACUAACACCGAUAUGCUUUGGGGAGCUGUAAGUAAGCUAUGAUCCAGAGAUUUCCGAAUGGGGGAACCCAAUAUCUUUUAUAGGAUAUUACUUUUCAGUGAAUACAUAGCUGAUUAGAGGUAGACGCAGAGAACUGAAACAUCUUAGUACCUGCAGGAAGAGAAAGAAAAUUCGAUUCCCUGAGUAGCGGCGAGCGAAACGGGAAGAGCCCAAACCAACAAGCUUGCUUGUUGGGGUUGUAGGACUCCAAUAUGGUAGUCUGUUAGUAUAGUUGAAGGAUUUGGAAAAUUCCGCUAAAGAGGGUGAAAGCCCCGUAGACGAAAUGCUAACAACACCUAGGAGGAUCCUGAGUACGGCGGAACACGAGAAAUUCCGUCGGAAUCCGCGGGGACCAUCCCGCAAGGCUAAAUACUCCCUAGUGACCGAUAGUGAACCAGUACCGUGAGGGAAAGGUGAAAAGCACCCCGGAAGGGGAGUGAAAUAGAUCCUGAAACCGUGUGCCUACAACAAGUCAAAGCUCGUUAAUGAGUGAUGGCGUGCCUUUUGUAGAAUGAACCGGCGAGUUACGAUUGCAUGCGAGGUUAAGUCGAAGAGACGGAGCCGCAGCGAAAGCGAGUCUGAAUAGGGCGAAUGAGUAUGUAGUCGUAGACCCGAAACCAUGUGAUCUACCCAUGUCCAGGUUGAAGGUGCGGUAAAACGCACUGGAGGACCGAACCCACGUACGUUGAAAAGUGCGGGGAUGAGGUGUGGGUAGCGGAGAAAUUCCAAACGAACUUGGAGAUAGCUGGUUCUCUCCGAAAUAGCUUUAGGGCUAGCCUCGGAAUUGAGAAUGAUGGAGGUAGAGCACUGUUUGGACUAGGGGCCCAUCUCGGGUUACCGAAUUCAGAUAAACUCCGAAUGCCAUUCAUUUAUAUCCGGGAGUCAGACUGCGAGUGAUAAGAUCCGUAGUCGAAAGGGAAACAGCCCAGACCACCAGCUAAGGUCCCAAAAUAUAUGUUAAGUGGAAAAGGAUGUGGGGUUGCACAGACAACUAGGAUGUUGGCUUAGAAGCAGCCACCAUUUAAAGAGUGCGUAAUAGCUCACUAGUCGAGUGACCCUGCGCCGAAAAUGUACCGGGGCUAAACAUAUUACCGAAGCUGUGGACUACACCAUUAGGUGUAGUGGUAGGAGAGCGUUCUAAGGGCGUUGAAGGUCGAUCGUGAGGACGGCUGGAGCGCUUAGAAGUGAGAAUGCCGGUAUGAGUAGCGAAAGACAGGUGAGAAUCCUGUCCACCGUAUGACUAAGGUUUCCUGGGGAAGGCUCGUCCGCCCAGGGUUAGUCGGGACCUAAGCCGAGGCCGAUAGGCGUAGGCGAUGGACAACAGGUUGAUAUUCCUGUACCAGUUGUUUUUGUUUGAGCAAUGGAGGGACGCAGUAGGCUAAGGAAUGCAUGCGAUUGGAAGUGCAUGUCCAAGCAAUGAGUCUUGAGUAGAGUUAAAUGCUUUACUCUCUAAGGACAAGUUGUGACGGGGAGCGAAAUAAUAGUAGCGAAGUUCCUGAUGUCACACUGCCAAGAAAAGCUUCUAGUGAGAAAACAACUGCCCGUACCGUAAACCGACACAGGUAGUCGAGGAGAGUAUCCUAAGGUGAGCGAGCGAACUCUCGUUAAGGAACUCGGCAAAAUGACCCCGUAACUUCGGGAGAAGGGGUGCUGACUUCGGUCAGCCGCAGUGAAUAGGCCCAAGCGACUGUUUAUCAAAAACACAGGUCUCUGCAAAAUCGUAAGAUGAAGUAUAGGGGCUGACGCCUGCCCGGUGCUGGAAGGUUAAGAGGAUGGGUUAGCUUCGGCGAAGCUCAGAAUUGAAGCCCCAGUAAACGGCGGCCGUAACUAUAACGGUCCUAAGGUAGCGAAAUUCCUUGUCGGGUAAGUUCCGACCCGCACGAAAGGCGUAACGAUUUGGGCACUGUCUCAACGAGAGACUCGGUGAAAUUUUAGUACCUGUGAAGAUGCAGGUUACCCGCGACAGGACGGAAAGACCCCAUGGAGCUUUACUGUAGUUUGAUAUUGAGUGUUUGUACCACAUGUACAGGAUAGGUAGGAGCCGAUGAGACCGGAACGCUAGUUUCGGAGGAGGCGCUGGUGGGAUACUACCCUUGUGUUAUGAACCCUCUAACCCGCACCACUAAUCGUGGUGGGAGACAGUGUCAGAUGGGCAGUUUGACUGGGGCGGUCGCCUCCUAAAAGGUAACGGAGGCGCCCAAAGGUUCCCUCAGAAUGGUUGGAAAUCAUUCGAAGAGUGUAAAGGCAGAAGGGAGCUUGACUGCGAGACCUACAAGUCGAGCAGGGACGAAAGUCGGGCUUAGUGAUCCGGUGGUUCCGCAUGGAAGGGCCAUCGCUCAACGGAUAAAAGCUACCCUGGGGAUAACAGGCUUAUCUCCCCCAAGAGUCCACAUCGACGGGGAGGUUUGGCACCUCGAUGUCGGCUCGUCGCAUCCUGGGGCUGUAGUCGGUCCCAAGGGUUGGGCUGUUCGCCCAUUAAAGCGGCACGCGAGCUGGGUUCAGAACGUCGUGAGACAGUUCGGUCCCUAUCCGUCGCGGGCGUUGGAAAUUUGAGAGGAGCUGUCCUUAGUACGAGAGGACCGGGAUGGACUUACCGCUGGUGUACCAGUUGUUCUGCCAAGGGCAUUGCUGGGUAGCUAUGUAGGGAAGGGAUAAACGCUGAAAGCAUCUAAGUGUGAAGCCCACCUCAAGAUGAGAUUUCCCAUUUCUUUAAGAAAGUAAGACCCCUGAGAGAUGAUCAGGUAGAUAGGUUGGAAGUGGAAGGCUAGUGAUAGUUGGAGCGGACCAAUACUAAUCGGUCGAGGACUUAACCAAA